rnacentral:misc_RNA from 1 species
CGACAGCCAGAAGACCGCGAGCCGACAGCCACUGCUCAUUCUCGGCGCGCUGAUUGCGGUCUAUAUCGUUCUCGGCGUGCUGUACGAGAGCCUUGCCCAUCCGCUGACGAUCAUUUCGACGUUGCCGCCGGCCGGNUGGCGCGCUGCUCGCCUUGCAGGUCACCAACACGCCGCUGACGGUGAUCGCCUUUAUCGGAAUCAUUCUGCUGAUCGGCAUCGUGAAGAAGAACGGCAUCAUGCUGGUGGACUUCGCCAUUGUCGCUGAACGCGAUGAAAAGCUGUCGCCGGAAGAAGCGAUACGAAAGGCUGCGCUGAUCCGCUUCCG